CAGGCACAGCAUCCAUGGGAGUGACCAUGGAAACCCAUUUGCAUGCGCUGCUUUUCUUGCUAAGUGUCAUUCUUUUAACUGUUUCUUGCGUAAGAGGGCAACAGUAUGCAUCUGCUUUGGGAGACCCAGGAACGAGAAGAGAUGGAUUGAGAGUGGCCUUUGAAGCUUGGAAUUUCUGCAAUGAGGCUGGCAAAGAAGCUCCAGGCAUGGGAAGCCCAAGAGCUGCUGAUUGCUUCGAUCUCUCAAGUUCUACGCUUAAGCACAAGGUAACAGAAGAUGAUAACAAACUUGGGGUAGGCAAAAUAUUCCCAGG
rnacentral:misc_RNA from 1 species